UGGGGAAUAUUGGGCAAUGGGCGAAAGCCUGACCCAGCCACGCCGCGUGGGUGAUGAAGGCCUUCGGGUCGUAAAGCUCUGCGGGGAGGGACGAAUAAGUGCCGUACUAACACUACGGUGCCCUGACGGUACCUCCUUAGCAAGCACCGGCUAACUUCGUGCCAGCAGCCGCGGUAAUACGAAGGGUGCAAACGUUGCUCGGAAUUAUUGGGCGUAAAGCGCACGUAGGCGGCUUUGCAAGUCCGAUGUGAAAGCCCUCGGCUUAACCGAGGAAGUGCAUCGGAAACUGCAGAGCUUGAGUACUUAAGAGGAUCGCGGAAUUCCCGGUGUAGAGGUGAAAUUCGCAGAUAUCGGGAGGAACACCAGUGGCGAAGGCGGCGAUCUGGGAAGAUACUGACGCUGAGGUGCGAAAGCGUGGGGAGCAAA
rnacentral:rRNA from 1 species